rnacentral:rRNA from 1 species
UACGUAGGGUGCAAGCGUUGUCCGGAAUUAUUGGGCAUAAAGAGCUCGUAGGCGGUUUGUCGCGUCGAAUGUGAAAACCCGGGGCUCAACCCCGGGCCUGCAUUCGAUACGGGCAGACUAGAGUUCGGUAGGGGAGUCUGGAAUUCCUGGUGUAGCGGUGAAAUGCGCAGAUAUCAGGAGGAACACCGGUGGCGAAGGCGGGACUCUGGGCCGAUACUGACGCUGAGGCGCGAAAGCGUGGGGAGCAAACAGG